GGACUGUGACAUAUACCUGGAUCAAGUACCUAGGUGAUGUAACUCUCCAGCCUGGGCCUUACCACAGGGUGCAUUGUAACAUAUCUUUGGACUUUUCACCUAUGUGAUGUGACUCUACUUUCUUGCCUCAUCUUGGCCUCCAUUGGGAAUUGUGACAUAUUGCUGGGCCCAAUACCUAAGUUAUGUGACUCUUCUUCGCUGCUUGUGCACUUAGAAGGGAUUGUGACAUAUUGCUGGGCCAAGAACCUAGGUGGUGUGACUCUCCUGUCUUCAGGGGAAAUUGUGACAUGACUCUGGGAAAUUUUCCCUGCCUUCAGGGGAAAUUGUGAUAUGUCUCUGGGUUUAUUACCUAAGUGAUGUGACUCUCAUCGCCUGUGUGGGCAAGCCCAAAGGGGUCAUUGUGACCUAUCUCUGGGCACAUCACAGAAGUGGUAUGGCUUUUCUCUCAUUUCUGGACCCUGGUCUCAGUAGGGACUGUGACAUAUCACUGGGCCUAUAACCUAGGUAAUGUGACUCUCCUUUUCUUCCUGUGUUCUGUCCCAGUGAAGAUUAUGACAAAUUUCUGGGCCAGUCAGGUAUGUGGUAUGACUCUGUGCUCUUUCCUGGGCCCCGCUAGCAGGGAGCAUUGUGACAUAUUGCCAGGCUCAGCACCUAGGUAAUGUGACUCUUCUUGCAGCCUGGGUUCUACAUACAGAAGGGAUUGUGACAUAUUGCUCAACCAAGAACUCAGAUGAUGUGACUCUCCUGCCUGUGCCCUGAGUACAGUGGGCAUUGUGACAUAUCACUGGGUCUAGCACCCAGGUGAUGUGACUUUAAUGCCUUGUUCCUGUCCAAAUGUAAAAUUGUGGCAUAUACCUGGGUCCAGCUCAGAGGCACAAGAAUGACUCUCUUACCUGGACACAGCCAGUGGGAGAUAUUUUGAUUUCUGUAGCCAGGCUUAGGCCACAGGUAAUGUCCUGGAUCUCUUACAUGUAUAAAGUUCACAGAACAUUACAACACUCAGGAUGAUCACAGGAAGCCCUAGAGCGAUACAGAGAGUUUCUAACAGGGCCUAGCUAACAGCUGAGAUUGUGACUCUCGUAUGCAGACCCAGCCGACAGGCUCUUCAUUCUUACACAUAAACAGAGCCUACGAAUGAGGCACUUAAUCUCACACAUAAAAACAGUUGCAAGUUGGAUUUGUUACUCUCAUAUGUGGAUCUGGUUUCCAGGUGGUUUGGUGACUCUCAAACCAUGAUUCAGCAGACCUGUGAGGCUGUGAGUUCCCUAUCAGAACACAAUCUGCAGGUUGUAUUGUGCCAUAUAUCUGUGUCCAAAUUAUAAGCACAAUGAUGAAUCUUUUACUGGGAGUCAAGAUAUGUGCAGGAUGGUGAAACUUAUCACUGGACCUUUCCACAGUGUUAUUGUCACAUAUACCUUUGUCCAACAUGUGAGUGAUUUGACUCUGCAGACUGGGUCCAGUUCACAAACAAAAUUGUGCCAUAUACCUGGGCCAAGAACCUAAUAGAUGGAGUCUUGCUCUGUUGCCCAGGCUGGAAUGCAAUGAUGCAAUCUCAGCUCACUGCAACCUCCAUCUCCCAGAUUCAAGUGGUUCUCCUGCCUCAGCCUCCCAAGUAGUUGGGACUACAGGUGCUGCCUUCAGGAGGGAUUAUGACAUAUGCCUGGACCAAACACCUGGAUGACGUGACACUCCUGCAUGAGCCUUGCCCUAAGGGGAUAUUUUUACAUGUUGGUGAACUCAGCAUCUAGGUGAUGUGACUCUACUCUUCUGCCUGGGCCCUGCCCACAGAGGGCAUUGGAACAUUUCACUUGGCUCAGCACCAAGAAGAUGUUACUCUCCUACCUGGACCUCUCCCACAGGGGACACCUAGAUGAUAUGAUUUUUCUUCCUGGUUCCUGCCCAGACUUCAAAUUGUGAUGUAUAUCUGGGCCCAAAACACAGGUAAGGUAAUAACUCUCAUAGCUAGACCAAGACAAUAGAGAGAUUUUGACUUUUGUAGCUAGGCUUAGAACAAUGGGUACAUAUUCCUGGCCCAGCUCCCAGGUGAUAUGACCCUCCUACCUAGUUAGUGCUCACAGGUGUGAUUGUUACCUAUGUUUGGACUCAGUUCAUUGUGAGCAUUGUGAUCACUCAUACCUGGACCUAGCCACAAAAAAAUAUGUUGACUCUUAUACCUCAAAAUAGGAGACUCAACCCACAAGAGGUGUUGACUCUUACACCUUUUGCUGGAAAAUGUCCAGGAUUGUGAAUUUCUGCUAUUGAUUGGGUCCAGGUAUGAGUUUCAUUGCUGUGCCUGAGCUGAGUUCAAAAUAAGUCACUAUCUCACCUGUGGCUGCAUCUACAUAUGACAGUCACAAUUCCAAGUCUGGAUUGCAUUUGUGUAUGAGACUUAGGACCUCACCAGUAAGCACUGUCUAUGUGUGAGGGUGACAAUUCUAUCAGCUGGAAGUGCAUAUGAGAGUCACAAUGUCACCUUUGUUCUUGGUCCUGUUAUGACAUUGUAUCACUUGAAGGCUUUAUCCAGACCCAGGACCUUGCCUGUUGCCCUAAGCCUAGAUAUCAGAGUCAAAAUCUGUUCUCUUAGCUGGAUCCAGGUAUGAGAGUCAACAUCUCACCAGUGAGCUGUGACCAUGUAUAUGUCACAAUUUCACCUGUGGGCAGGAACCAGACAUGAGAGUCAUAUCACUUGGGUGCUGGGUAAGUGAUACAUUACAAUUCUUACUUUGGGCAGGGUCCAGGCAACAGAGGAGAGACACAUCACCUAUAUGAUUGGCCCAGCGAUGGGUGAAAAUCCUCUCUGAGAGCAGGGCCCAUUCAGGAGAGUCAUAUCACCUAGCUGCUUGGCCAAGUGAAAUAUCACAAUGCACCCUUUGCACAGGGCCAAUACAGGACAGUUACAUCACCAGGGAGCUGGGUCCAGCUAUAUGUCACAAUUCCUUUUGUGGAAAGUGUCCAGGCAGAAAAGCAGAGUCACAUCACCUAGCCAGUGGGCCCAGAGAGAUGCCACAAUGCCAUUUGUAGGCUGGGCCCUGGGAGAAGAAUAACAUCACCCAGUUCUGGGCCCAGCAAUAUGUUGUGAUCCCAACUGGAAAAAGUUUCCAGACAAGAGAGGAGAAUCACAUCAUCAUGAUGAUAAGCCAAGAGAUUUCACAAUCCCCCCCUCUGCACAUGUCCCAGGCAGAAGACCUGAAUUACCUUUUUACUUAGGCCAGUAAUGUCACAGUGCUUCCUCAGGGCAGGGCACAAACAAGAUAGGACAGUCACAUCAUUAAGUGCUAGACUUAAUGCUAGAUAUGUCAUAACCUUACUUGUGGGCAGGAUCCAGGAAGGAGAGAUUUAUGUCACCUAGGUGCUCAGUAAAGAGAUAUAUUACAAUUACAAUUCCUUUGAGGGAAGUGGCCAGGCAAAAUAGUCACAUCACCUAGGUGCUUGGCCCAGGUAUAAGUCACAAGAUAUCUGUGUGUUGAGCCCAGAAGGACUAUCAAAUUACGAAGUUUCUACGUAGAAGUGCAUGUCACAGACACCUGCAGGAAGGCCCAGGAAUGAGACUCCCAAUUCCACACAUUUUCCCACUCCAAGUGUAAGAGUCAACAACUCCUGAGACUUAGGCCCAAGUACAUGAGUCACAAUCUCAACAGUGGAUUGCAUCCUGCCAUGAGAGCCCCAAUCCCUUCUCUAAGCUGUGUUCCAGUAGAGGAGUCACAACAUCAAUGGUGUGCUGAAUCCUGGUUGGAGAGUUCCCACUUCACCUGUGGACUGGAUCUGUAUAUGAGAGUCUCAAUUCCAGCUCUCAACUGCCCCUGGGUGUGAGAUUCAGGACCUCAAUUGUGAGCUGUGUACACAUGGACAUGUAACAAUUUCUACUUUUGGCUGUGUGUUCAUACAAGACUCAAUCUCAUCUGUGUUCUCGGCCCUGUUAUGACACUCUUUGUACCACCCAUGGGAUUUAUUCAAUACGCAUGGGUGUCAUAAUCCUCUGUGAUCUUCAUACAAGUAGAAGACCCAGGACCUUACCCAUGGCCCUAGGCCUAUCUAUGAGAAUUGACAUUUUUCCUCACAUUUUUAAUUUUAACAAAUAAGUUAUUCUCCUGUCAGUUCAGAUUCAUCAGGACAUUGAAUCAUAUUCAGAAGAAUUAAAACUGAAAGACUAAUAGGUUUGUUAAAGCAAUGCAGGUUGUCAUACUAAUAAACCCUAAAAUUUCAAAGGCUUAGCAAAAUAAUACAUUUUCUGCUUACAUCACCAUCCCCUUUGGCUUAUUUCUGGUUAAGAGAACUUCUUUGUGAUUAUUCGGAGAUUAGAUUUUUUUAAAAUUUCCUAUCUGCACUCUCUCUUUCUUCAGCCAAUAGAUGAAAAAAGAUGCAAAGAAGACACAUUUGCUUUUUAUGCACACAUCACUUCCAGUCACUAUGUUGAGCAGAGUCAGUGUGAGGACAAUUGAGAAUAGCAGUUUUCUGGCAGGACAGCCACUUCUCAGCAGAAGAUGACACAAUAAAAGUAUAAAUCUUUCAUGGGAGGCUCACAUAUUUUCAGCAAAUUAAGCAUAUGCAUGAAUAAAAUUCUUGUGGUAAAAUAAAGAUGCAUUUUGUUGAUUCCUAUGGAGCUCAGGUAAUAUUGGAUAAAAAGCAAAAAAAUUAUUUGAAAUAGUAAUAUUGUGAAUGAAGUUAUUCUGUCAAUAGAAUUAAAAAUAUUUUUAUCUCAUACUAGUCAUCUUAUCUAUAGUUGUACAAUAUCAAAUGCUACUUUUUAUUCACAAUUGUACUUCAUAUAAUUAUUCCAUGUAUAUCAUCCUUCUUCACUGUUUCAAUGCCUUCUGCACUUCACAUCAGUGAAAAACAAGCCAGCUAAUGCCAGGAAAUGGGUGUUUUGCUAGUGCUACUUUAAGAGUAAUGAUGAAGAGCACUUGUCUGAAUUGUUCCCAUGUGGCAAACACUGUGAUUUGGCCCAAAGUACACACAUUUCUUAUGUACCUCUAAAUUUAC
rnacentral:lncRNA from 1 species